rnacentral:rRNA from 1 species
GCAUAUCAAUAAGCGGAGGAAAAGAAACCAACAGGGAUUGCCCUAGUAACGGCGAAGUGAAGCGGCAACAGCUCAAAUUUGAAAUCUGGCUCUUUUAGAGUCCGAGUUGUAAUUUGCAGAGAGCGCUUUGGCGUUGGCAGCGGUCCAAGUUCCUUGGAACAGGACGUCACAGAGGGUGAGAAUCCCGUACGUGGUCGCUAGCCUUCGCCGUGUAAAGCCUCUUCGACGAGUCGAGUUGUUUGGGAAUGCAGCUCUAAAUGGGAGGUAAAUUUCUUCUAAAGCUAAAUACUGGCCAGAGACCGAUAGCGCACAAGUAGAGUGAUCGAAAGAUGAAAAGCACUUUGGAAAGAGAGUCAAAUAGCACGUGAAAUUGUUGAAAGGGAAGCGCUUGCAGCCAGACUUGCCUGUAGUUGCUCAUCCGAACUUUUGUUCGGUGCACUCUUCUGCGGGCAGGCCAGCAUCAGUUUGGGCGGUUGUAGAAAGGUCUCUGUCACGUACCUCCUCUCGGGGGGGCCUUAUAGGGGAGACGAAAUGCAACCAGCCUGGACUGAGGUCCGCGCAUUUGCUAGGAUGCUGGCGUAAUGGCUGUAAGCGGCCCGUCUUGAAACACGGACCAAGGAGUCUAACAUCUAUGCGAGUGUUUGGGUGUCAAGCCCGAGCGCGUAAUGAAAGUGAACGGAGGUGGGAACCCUUAAGGGUGCACCAUCGACCGAUCCUGAUGUCUUCGGAUGGAUUUGAGUAGGAGCAUGGCUGUUGGGACCCGAAAGAUGGUGAACUAUGCUUGAAUAGGGUGAAGCCAGAGGAAACUCUGGUGGAGGCUCGCAGCGGUUCUGACGUGCAAAUCGAUCGUCAAAUUUGGGCAUAGGGGCGAAAGACUAAUCGAACUAUCUAGUAGCUGGUUCCUGCCGAAG